CAUGGUUACUGGAUGUGUGGAGGUAGAGGUACGUGGUUACUGGGUGUGUGGAGGUAGAGAUACAUGGUUACUGGAUGUGUGGAGGUACAUGGUUACUGGAUGUGUGGAGGUACAUGGUUACUGGAUGUGUGGAGGUACAUGGUUACUGGAUGUGUGGAGAUACAUGGUUACUGGAUGUGUGGAGGUAGAGGUACGUGGUUACUGGGUGUGUGGAGGUAGAGAUACAUGGUUACUGGAUGUGUGGAGGUACAUGGUUACUGGAUGUGUGGAGGUACAUGGUUACUGGAUGUGUGGAGGUACAUGGUUACUGGAUGUGUGGAGAUACAUGGUUACUGGAUGUGUGGAGGUAGAGGUACAUGGUUACUGGAUGUG